GCUUGCGGAUCUCUUCGGAGUGACGCGAGUGGAACGAGCGGCGGACGGGUGAGUAACACGUGGGCAACCUGCCUGUAAGACGGGGAUAACUCCGGGAAACCGGGGCUAAUACCGGAUAGAACCUAUUCUCGCAUGAGAAAAGGUGGAAAGAUGGCUUCGGCUAUCACUUACAGAUGGGCCCGCGGCGCAUUAGCUAGUUGGUGAGGUAACGGCUCACCAAGGCAACGAUGCGUAGCCGACCUGAGAGGGUGAUCGGCCACACUGGGACUGAGACACGGCCCAGACUCCUACGGGAGGCAGCAGUAGGGAAUCUUCCGCAAUGGACGAAAGUCUGACGGAGCAACGCCGCGUGAACGAAGAAGGUUUUCGGAUCGUAAAGUUCUGUUGUUAGGGAAGAACAAGUACCGUUCAAAUAGGGCGGUACCUUGACGGUACCUAUCGAGGAAGCCCCGGCUAACUACGUGCCAGCAGCCGCGGUAAUACGUAGGGGGCAAGCGUUGUCCGGAAUUAUUGGGCGUAAAGCGCGCGUAGGCGGUUUCUUAAGUCUGAUGUGAAAUCUUGCGGCUCAACCGCAAGCGGUCAUUGGAAACUGGGGAACUUGAGUGCAGAAGAGGAGAGUGGAAUUCCACGUGUAGCGGUGAAAUGCGUAGAGAUGUGGAGGAACACCAGUGGCGAAGGCGACUCUCUGGUCUGUAACUGACGCUGAGGUGCGAAAGCGUGGGGAGCGAACAGGAUUAGAUACCCUGGUAGUCCACGCCGUAAACGAUGAGUGCUAGGUGUUAGGGGGUUUCCGCCCCUUAGUGCUGCAGUUAACGCAU
rnacentral:rRNA from 1 species